ACGUAGGUGGCGAGCGUUGUCCGGAUUUACUGGGCGUAAAGGGCGUGCAGGCGGUUUGUUAAGUGCAGGGUGAAAGCUCCCGGCUCAACUGGGAGAGGUCCUUGCAUACUGGCGAACUCGAGGGAGGCAGAGGAAAGUGGAAUUCCCGGUGUAGUGGUGAUAUGCGUAGAUAUCGGGAGGAACACCUGUGGCGAAGGCGGCUUUCUGGGCCUUACCUGACGCUGAGACGCGAAAGCGUGGGGAGCGAACCGGA
rnacentral:rRNA from 1 species